AUGUGUGUGUAUGUGUGUAUAUAUAUGUGUGCAUAUAUGUAUAUAUGUAUACACAUACACACAUAUAUACACACACAUACACACACACACAUAU
rnacentral:miRNA from 1 species